GAUUCAUGGCCAGAAAAGCGUGCUCUGGAGAGAAAGCCAAGCAUGUGGCUGGACAAGAUUCUGCUAGUGCCUCACAAGGACCAAAAGGUCAGAAUUCAAUCACAUAAACAGUCCUUUGAAGAGAUUAAGUACAUGAAUGAGGAAGCCCAUCAACCAUCUCAGUAGAGACAGGGAAUACAGAUGCGUUUAUCCACGGAAGAUUUGUGAAGAAGCCUCUUGCCUAGUGAAGUGAACCUCCCACGAGGUUUUUUAGGAUGUUAUACAACAGAAAUACUACCAGCUUGGACUGAAAGAGACAAAGAGAAGAUAAAUGAAGUAAGCCUAUCUGACCCCAAAAAUUCUAUAGGCAAGAAGCAGGCUGAUGAAACUACUUGGCCUCAAACAUAUGCUAUCCUUCAAAAAAAAAAAAAAAAAAAAAAAAAAAGGAAGGACAACUCAGAGAGCAGAGCUACAGGUCCAGAGGAGGACAGAUACUCAAGCCACAGAGGAUUAUUCCCAGCCUUCAACCCUAAUGGAGUUUGCCCACCUGGAGUUUUGAAAUCGCUCGGGACUGGUGACUACUUUUUUCAUUCUGUUUUAUCCCUUUGCAUGAGGAAUAUCUUUAACUAUUAACUGCUAUCCUAUCCCUGCUCCACCAUUGUAUUUUGGGAACAGAUAACAUUUUUUCUAGUUUCGCAGGGGCAUAAAUGGAGAGAAUUUUCCCCAUGAUGGAUUAUACCCAGAGCUUCAUUCAUACCUAAUUUAGAUGACUUAAAUGGAAUCAGGGCUACUAUUAUUUGAACUCUUCACCUGUGACAAGAAUGAUCGGGCAGAGAGCACCUGGAAUAUGCGUUCUCCAAGGUACAUUUUAAUAUCUACUGAGAAGAUUUACAAGUUUCUCUAUAAAGUUUGACAAAUUUCUCCAUAGAGAUCUUCUGUAAGAGUUUCUCUUGAUCAGGAAUUUGAAUGCAGCUUAACUGGCGGUUCCAGCUUGGACUUUCUAAAGAGGUUACAGUCACUAUGUCACCAAAGCUGCAGUCAUCUGAAGGCUUGACUGAGCCUGGAAGAUUUACUGCCAUGAUGGCUCACUCAAACUGCUUGUCAGCACGAUUCGAUGUUUGAGGGGAAGACAUAAGGCCGUGAAUGAAUAUUGGGAGACAAGGAGUAUCUGGAGGCUGUCUCAGAGGCUGGCUACCAUGUUGGAUCUAGUCAUGAACUAUCCAUUCUUUUCCGCUAAACUGAAUACCCCUUUCGGUUCCAAAUAUAUACUUACACUAUUAUUUAAUAGAAUAAUGCAUCUCAAAUUAUUUCUGUGGCAUUUUUCAAAUGUUUAUUUUUAUAGAUGAAUUUCACAAUCAUUUUGUCAGUUUGAAAACACAUGGGGACAUGAGGGAGUUUUUUUUUUAUUAAGCCAUAAUUUACAUAUAACAAAAUUCACAUAUUUUAAGUAGGUGAGAUUGUUUAGUACAUUGCUCUGAAGUAUAUUAAAAUAUGAAGAACUGACAUCUUGAUAAUAAUAUGUUUUCAAAUCUACAGCUAGAGUAUAUCCUUCCAUUAAUUUAAGUUUUCUAUCUUGUUUCUUGGUAGAUUUUUUUUCUUUUGUUAAACGAUUGUUACAUUUAUUCCUAGGUAUUUUAUACAUUGCUUUCAUUGUGCAUGGAACUUUUUUCCCCCAUUAUUUUUCUAAACCUUUGUUGUUCUGCAGAAAAGCUACAGCUUUUUAAAAAUGUUUUACUCUUUGUGAUAGCUUAACAUUUACUCCUCUUGCGUUUUCAAAAUAGACAACUCUAUCAUCAGCAAAUUACGAUAAUCUUAUCACCACCAUUUCAUUUUUUAAGCUUUGAUUAAAUGUUAAGUUCCAAUGAAUGGAUAGUACUUUAGGAUCAGUGUUAAAUACAAAUGUUUGCUCUCAGCGUCUUUCUCAAGUUCUGUAAGAGCGAAUGAUUAUAAUAGCAAACACUUAUGUAGCACUUAUUUCUCACCAGGCACUUCCCUAAGUACAUUGCAUAUGUUAACACAGUAUUCUUAACCCUAACUUUGUGAGGUGAACUCUUCCAGCUUUACAAUGAGGAAAAUAGAGACACACAAAUGCGAUAACUUACUAAGGUCACAGAGCUAUUAGUAACAGAGGCAAGAAUUCAAACCUUAGGAAUCUGAUUCUACUUGAUUCCCUUAACUAUUUAGCUAUGUUGCCUCUCAAGGGCCUAUUUCUGUGGCACCUGACAUCUUAAGAAAAGCACACAGUUCUAGAAUUAGAACUGAGCAGAUGUGGUGUAAAGAAAUGAGAACUUUCCUGCUUCGUUACAGAGUUGAUUCAGAUCUCCAAGAUGAUGCUUAGAUCAGCAACUAAAAUUGGAGGGAACCCUGGAGAUCAAUUAAUCCCACCCAGUAGGUUACAAAUGAGGGAAGACAAGAAAUCCACAGGAAAACUGCCUCUCCCAAGGUUACACGGGUACCUAAUAGAAGCAACAGGACUUUCAAUAGGUGAUUGAGUAAAAUAAGGUGGAAUUAUAACUCAUGCCAUUCUAUUGAUGCGUAAUCAAAUACUCUUCCCCUGUUUACAGUGAUAAGUGACCAACAGGAAUAGAUGGCAGAGGUGAAAAGAUUUGAAUCUACGUUCCUAGAGAAACUAAACUCUAAACCCUGGGUUCUUAGACUGGGUAACACAAACACUCUUAGAUUUUAAAAUUAUGGCGUACUCUCUUUGUGUAAAAAGUAUUGGCGAUUUUAAAGGAUGUCAAUGCUCAUUUUGUUGUAAGCAACAGAUAUAAAACAGAAAUAAAACAAAAAGCAGAUAAACACAAAACCUUAAAUGCAUCUGAAAAUUGCCUGGAUGUCUUUAGAUUUUUCUAACAGAGCUAAACCUGAUAUUCAACUUUUCAAUGUGGUCACAGUGUUGGUUGUUUUCCUUGCUUUUUUUUUCUUUUUCUUUACUUUUUAUCUUUUUAAAAAAUUGUUGUUGUUGUUGUUAUCCUUUUUUUUUGGUGAGGAGGGGGAGUUUUACCAGUUCUACUGGCAAGAACAUGGUGUCCUUUCAUAAACACAUGGAAAUUCUUAUUUUCACUAACUUGCUUUUUUUUUUUCCAUGGAAGACUCAUUGGAAAUGUAGCAUCUCAUUUGGAAUAGCAGCAAGUGGUGAAAAUCCAUUUUUAGCAUUUUUCCCAUCAUUUCUGUAAGGCCAAUAUUCUACUUUGGAAAAAUGACAUUAGCUAUGUCCUCAAAAAGCAAUCCAUAUUCCUUAAAAUAGCUCUAGGUUACCAAUCUCUGGUUACUAUUUAUUCUCAUAAGGUGGAAAGGGUUAAUGAUUUGACUAUGUUUUCCUUCAGAGUCUUUCCAAUUCAAUUUCCAGGUGUCCAAAAUUGGCCCUUAACAAACAAAAUACAGCAACAGCUACUCAACUUCCAUAAUCUAUUUUCUCUCUUUAUCCUAAUUUGGAUUAUAAAUUCGGUAAGAAAUCUAUCUCUAAUCUCGCUAGAAACAAAUGAAAAAUGGUCAAAUGACGCAUGGUUUUGAGCUCCUAGGUGCAUAAAUUAGAUUGAGUACGUCAAUUGAUUGGAAUAUUCUGACCUUUUCCCCUUUUAAAAGUAUGUUAGGGAAAAAUAGGUUUGGGUGACAUUCUGUGUUUAAAACAUUCUGUAUUAACAAUUUAGACAACUUCUUUGGUAAAGAGAAUGGAAAGUUGGCAUGGAGCACCAACACAUAUACUGCAAAUCAUGGCGAGACAUCCAAAGACUUUUACACAUUGCUACAUAUGGACAUGCAGUAUGUUAUAGAGACAGUUUUAUGAAAUGCCCAACAUUAGAGGAAAUGUGUGUUUUUUUAAGUGACAAGUAAUAAGUCAUUCUUUGCAUAUAUUAUGGAAAAGAACAUUAGAAACUGGAUACUGUUGUUUUUGUGUAUGUGAAAGUCUGUUUGAUCUGCAGAGAACUGCAGUAAAUAUUCAGGGCAAUUUUCAGUUAAAAAUCCACUUCCAGAUGAACAAAAUAAACCACAGAAUUAAAAAAUUAACUGGAAAACUUGAAUUGUGUAGGCAAUUGAUCUUGCCUUUUGAAUGUAAAAUCUUUUCUUUUGAAUAUCAUUGUUUAGACUUUUAAAAAGUAUCUGUGUAGUGUGUGUCUGUGUGUGCGCACACUGUAAUUAAUAUCUUCAUAUUUUCAGAAGAAGCAGAGACAUAUUUGGUUUGGGGAAAAAAUCUGUUAAACUACAAAAUUGUAUUCUCAAGUCAAUUAGUUAUAUAUGCACAUGACUGGUUGUGUGUUUGUGUGUGUGUUUAAUCUGUUUGAAACUUAGUUCGUUGAUAUGUCAAAUCCUCAGUAAUAUUCACUUUGUUCUAAUUAUAGUCCACUUGUUAUGAGUCAGAUGUUUUCUGAAUAAGAUAGCCAUUUUUAUUUUUUUGGUUGAAUGUUCAGUUGAAGAUGUGAUGAAGAAUCUCUUUUUAUACACCAAUUGUAGGCUUUUGGUAUAAUGAUUCCUUUUGCUAACAGCGUGACAGAGCAAAACAAAUAGUUCCAGUGUCCUAUUCAUAUAUAUAUAUUUUUUCAUUUUUUCCAGUGAAAUAAUGAUAAUGUUUUCGUUAUGUACUCAUUAAUAUGCCUCACACACAGGCACGUAGCCGUUAUUCCAGGUCUGAAAUAAGUAGUCUGUUACAUACUCUUGAUGAAGUACAAAGUACAAAAGUAAUGUGGAAGAUGUAAAUAGAAGUGCAAUAGAAACACUUCACAUUUUCUAGGCUUUGAAGGAUGCUGACAAUAAAAAAGAACAUUGUAAGUGUCCCUACUAUAAACAUUACUGUCAAGUUGAAAGUGUUAACCUCAGAAGUGGCAUCGAGUUUAUACAGAAUUGAAACAGAGGUGUAGAUUGCUUUUUUCGUUUGUAUUGUCCAUAAAUAAAAAAUCUUUUAACUUC